rnacentral:rRNA from 1 species
AGAGCGAACGCUGGCGGCAGGCUUAACACAUGCAAGUCGAGCGGGCGUAGCAAUGCGUCAGCGGCAGACGGGUGAGUAACGCGUGGGAACGUACCUUUUGGUUCGGAACAACCCAGGGAAACUUGGGCUAAUACCGGAUAAGCCCUUACGGGGAAAGAUUCAUUGCCGAAGGAACGGCCCGCGUCCGAUUAGCUUGUUGGUGAGGUAAUGGCUCACCAAGGCGACGAUCGGUAGCUGGUCUAAGAGGAUGAUCAGCCUCACUGGGACUGAGACACGGCCCAGACUCCUACGGGAGGCAGCAGUGGGGAAUAUUGGACAAUGGGCGCAAGCCUGAUCCAGCCAUGCCGCGUGGGUGAUGAAGGCCCUAGGGUUGUAAAGCCCUUUCGGCGGGGAAGAUAAUGACGGUACCGCAGAAGAAGCCCCGGCUAACUUCGUGCCAGCAGCCGC